rnacentral:siRNA from 1 species
AGACUAAAGCAAGGGUCGUUUAGA